UCUCCGUUGGUGAACCAGCGGAGGGAUCAUCACCGAGUUUACAACUCCCAAACCCCAUGUGAACCUUACCAAACGUUGCUUCGGCGGGAUGCCCCGGGCGCGGGCCGCAAGGCCUCAGCCCCGGAACCAGGCGCCCGCCGGAGGCCCAAACCAAACUCUUGUUUUUGUAGAAUCUUCUGAGUGGCCUUUUAGGCAAAAAAUGAAUCAAAACUUUCAACAACGGAUCUCUUGGUUCUG
rnacentral:misc_RNA from 1 species